GCAGUCGUGGCCGAGUGGUUAAGGCGAUGGACUUGAAAUCCAUUGGGGUCUCCCCGCACAGGUUCGAAUCCUGUCGGUAGCG
rnacentral:tRNA from 1 species